UACAGAGGUCCCAAGCGUUGUUCGGAUUCACUGGGCGUAAAGGGUGCGUAGGUGGUUGGGUAAGUCUGAUGUGAAAUCUCCGGGCUCAACCCGGAAUGGCAUUGGAUACUAUUCGGCUAGAGGUUUGGAGGGGGACUGGAAUUCUCGGUGUAGCAGUGAAAUGCGUAGAUAUCGAGAGGAACACCAGUGGCGAAGGCGAGUCCCUGGACAACACCUGACACUGAGGCACGAAAGCUAGGGGAGCAAACAGG
rnacentral:rRNA from 1 species